UGCAGCUGAAUAUCAGACAGUUGUUUUUAUGAAGAAUCUUCGAUGAAGUUGAACAACCAAAAUGCCAUGAAAUAUUUUUUUUAUUUAUGACAUAUAACAAAACGAAUUAUAUAGUUCUUACAACUUGUUUGGAUCUCUAAUAGAUAACAAUACAACGGUUUGUUUCCCGCUAUUUGAAGAACGAUCACGUGUCAUUGUGUUACGUUUUGGUUUUUUAAAUGCACACACGAAUUCAUGGAGGGUUUUACGGAAUGGAGCAAUAAUCACGUAGUAAAGAAUAAAGUUGACCGAGAAAUUGAUAGACUGUAGUGUAUUCGUGACGUCCGAAACUACUCUGUAUGUGUAAUAAUCUGUUGUAUGUUCUUUCAUGAUGUAAAAUAUAAAUUUUGUAAUUUCUGAUGGAGCCACGAGUAUAAAGAACAGUAUGAUGAUCGUGAUCAGGGUAAUAUUUAUUCGUCUGUGCGCAGACAGACAGGAAGUGUCGUCACGACUAUGCAGUAAGCGAAGUUGUUUACUCAAAUGUAAUGCUUUGAUCAACCGGAUGUUGCAAUACAACAGCACUAUCAAUGGAAUGAAGUUUCCGCAUAUAGCCCAAAGUAUUUUGUAGACAUAAACAAAUUUAGUUUUGAAAAAUAAAGUUCCAUCUUCGAUAGUUACUAGAUCAUCUAUAUUGACACAGUAAUUUUCCGUUCGGUAACGCCAUAUGUAUGGUAUGUUGAAUGCAAAUGAUAUCAGAUAUGCAAUCACAAUGGCGGUUAUUGUUGACUUUAUUGUAAUGAAUUGUCUUGAGCGAAACGGAUGACAUAUUGCAAGGUAACGCAUAAAUGCAGUCAGUACCGUCAUCAUUGUACUACUCAUUAUAAAUGUGCUUAUGACAGUGAUACUAUACAUCCUGUAGUAAAGCAUGAACUCUGACCUCUGAUACAGAUGUCGUUGUAAGAGAAACGCAUUUGGGAAAGUUGUCAGACAAAACAUCAUAUCGGAUAUUGCCAAAGCCACCAGGCAUAUAGUUGUGCAGUAUUCAACGUCAUCUAACGUUUUGUUGCUUUUCUUUUUUGUAAAUACUAUAACGUUUAGAAUAUUACCAACAAACCCAAAGGCACAAACCAUUGGUACGAUUACUCCAUAUAACAGGUGCUGCAUCUUUGCUAUUUUCAUUGCAAGUUCUAUAAAAGUUGAAUUGUCAGUUGAUGCAUUCAUUGAUGAAAUCACAGUGCAGUUCUGAACGUGUUCCAUGAUUAAGGAAUUUCCUUGGAAUCUUAAUUAAAUGUAAUCUUUCAGAUGAAAGCCAGGAUAACCUCUGAAAUGGUCGCAGAUAAAUCAAAUUCACUUGUCUCUUUUGUGACUAUAUGCUUUGUUUACGAUUGCAAUACAGUUCGGUCACACAAUGAGCAAUUUUGUAACAUCUAGAAGUCAAUCAUAGUAGUUCCACAUGAUUUAUUAAAAAAAAAUGUCUUUGAAUACUCGAACUGUGGUAUGAGUAAUUGAUGCUAACGUUGAUUUUUCAAGCGUUGAUUUUGGA
rnacentral:lncRNA from 1 species